rnacentral:tRNA from 1 species
UCCUCGGUAGCUCAGUGGUAGAGCAAACGGCUGUUAACCGUUUGGUCGCUGGUUCGAGUCCGGCCCGGGGAGCCA